rnacentral:lncRNA from 1 species
ACAGUGCGGUAAAGCCAAGGGAGAUUAUCCAGACCCCCAGGAGCGAACAGCAAGCAGCAACCGAAGGCGCAAAUGCCAGGAUUACAGCCUAGGCUGCUCCAACUAUGAGCCCUUCCUCGGACCCUGGGACUCGGCUACUUGGGGUUUGGGGGUCUUCCACACCACAGAGGCACAAAGCUGACUUUAAUCACUUUUUUUCCUUUAAACUUGAUUCUGCCGCAGUGGAGCCAGCACAGCGGAUGUUUUCACACCCAGCAAGACAAAGGCCGUCGUCUCCGCCAUGACACUGUUCCGUUCCAAGCAGAGGCCGGGAUUCUGGACUCCUCGAAAAAUAAAAAAGAAACAAGGAAAACAAACAACAAAUACAGCAACAAACAGAAAAAACUGAAAACCACCAAAAUCGUUUGCCCGUUUGCCCGUGCCAGGGGUGAUCUGGGCAUCUGUUGCAGCAGAAGGCGCUUGUGUGGGGCUAAUUUUUCUUUUGGUGGGGGGGCAAGCUGUUGGCUUGUUUGCUACUUCAACUUGGUUUAUAAUUAACUUAAAAAAAAAAACCCACUAUUCAGCCUAGUCAACAACAAACAAAGAAAAAGCAGACAUCGGAAGAGAAAUACCAUAGGAAGCGGCAUGAAUACAUGCCACAGCCGGUGCCACUUGCCACUCGGAAAACCUCAGGGAAAGAUGCCAAUUCUACAGCUGCGAAGAAGGCAGAGAAGGGAGCAUAAAGGUCUACAACUAGAAAUCAUAAGUAAAGAAUACUGCUUGUAUAAUCCUGGAUUGCAAUUGCACACAGCCUCUGCUGGGAGAAGAGAGGGAAUAUUUAAAUGGAGAUAUAGAUGGGUAUAAAUUAAAAGAUAGGCACCUAUCGAUUGCGUAUAAACACAUGUGUAAGGUUGUAUGUGUAUAAAAUAUGCAUAUUUUCAGACAAACGUUUAGAUAUGUAUAUAUUUUGUGCUACAGGUAUGGGUAUGUAUAUAGGUGUAUAUGUUUAUGCAUAUACACACAUAUGUAGGAUGUAUGCAUGUGUGAGAAAAAGGAGGGAGAGAGAGGAGAGAGAAGGAAAUAUGUGUAUGUGCAUGUAUGUAUAUGCAUACAUCCCACUUUUUGACCCAGGUAUACACAGAAGACAAAAUAAAAAUCAUACUCCAGCAGCAAGCAGGCAGCCAGAGAUUUAUCUACAUUCACUGCUAUCACCAGGGAGAUGAAUGGGGCCGAUCUGAAGCCCUUUUACAAGAUCCACUAUGGGAGUGAAGGAGGAGGAGGGAUGCCACACAGACAUGCACAAACUUGAAGGCAGAGGGAUUUGGAAGGGGCUACUGAGGAAACACUGGUGGCAUAACGCAGGGGAGAAGAAGGGGAAAGAGGCUUGUCUCUCUCUCUCUCUAUGUUUUAGGUGGUUGUUUUUAAAAAAUCUGCAAAAGGGUUUCAGGGAACGGCUGGUACUUACGUUGUCUGCGUUGCUGUGGAUCCUGAAAGGUGUUCUGUUGGCACCGGGCGCUGAGCCAGGGGCAGGCGCUGGAAACAAAAGGGAGAGACAAAAAAAUAAAGUCAUUCAAUGGGAAUAUUAAUUGCUGCUCUUGUGGAUUUUACAAAACACAUAAACUGUUUUCUUUUUCUUUCUUAAAAAAAAAUGUGGAUUGGCGCGUGUCCCUUUUGCAUGGAAUAUACAAGUAGUAUGGGAUUUACAGCCCAGUUGCGGGACUCAGGAUUAGCUGCGCUGGCAUCUUUUGGGCAUAUUCUUCCUUUUAAUGAAUGAGCUUUCGCUGUUAAUGAGGAAUAAUCGUUUGGCUAAUGAGCUUUGAAACAUUAAGAGAAAAGAGGUUUUUUCCGUUAAUCGCUCUGGUGCGACUGCAUGGAUGGAUUACAAAAGACAGCAAUAGGAACGCAGUACAAAGGGGGGGACCUCUCCUGGAGUGGGAGAAACACCGAGAUGGGUGAUGUGUCCCUGCGUCUUUCCUUCCUUCUCUCUUUCGCUCUCUCUGCCAACUGCUAUGGGUUUCCAUAACUUCGCAAUCAAAGUGGAUGGUCGGGAAGGAUUAUUACAAAGAGUGAAGCCUCCGCUGUUAAUGUCUCCAGUGUUUAAUCAUCAUACAGUAGAAUGGUUUUAUGCAUAUUUCAUUUGCAUAUCAUUAAACUGUGUUAGCGAGGGGCAUUCAGAACCAGGAGAAGUACAAAGUUGGGGAGAGAGGGAAGAAAAAAGGUCCCUAUGAUGCUUAUCUUCAAACAGGGACUUGUUCCAUGAUCUGUCUUCUACUUUUGCUAAAAUCAUUAUAACUUGGAAACCUUUGAAGUUGGAUACAACCUUGGAUUCUUCUAAUUCCUGCAGAGCAGUGUAUUUUAAAAAACAGCAGAAAUGUUCCUGCACUAGACAAUUAAAGGAAUAUAAACUCCAGUGGGCUGAAACUAGUAGCUCUUUGGGGAACGCAGUAGCAGAGGCUUCUACAAAUACCAACACUUAAAAAUAUAUAAUAAACAGCAUCAUAUUAGAAACAAAGAAAACGAAGACAAGAAAUAUUAACACGUGGAUUAUAUUUGUUUCCUUUGGGGGGUAAUGAACUAAAGAGAAUGAAGAAGCCAUCGGUAAUUUAUCCCUUCAUUAAUGAACAGUCACCUUUUUGUAUGUGUUUGUUUUUGUCCUUUCUUUUUGAAGAGGGAUGUUGUUACUUUUGAAGCAAUUAGUCAAUUAUUUUGUAGCUAUGAUCUUUUUCCCCUGCACCCGACAGGAAAGAAAGGUGGUGGUUAGGGAAUAUGUGAGUACUGGGGGGGACUUGGUGGGGAGAGAAAGAAUACAGUGAGUUCUUUGUAGAUCUUAUACAUGCACAACAUAUUAAUUGGGGGCUUUUAAAGCUCCCUCAAUGGGCUAUUUCAUUCCUGGUAAAACAGCAGCUGGUUAGCCACUAUUGGUGACUCUUCAAAUAUUACUUUAUUUUUAUUCUUUCGCUGUUGUUGUUGUCUUGUUUUUCCUCAGUUAAGAAUGAAAAUGUAGUAUCACCCCUUCUUUACUGAGUCUCUUCUCCAUCUUCUUCUUCACUCCAAUUUCCAAACUGUAAAACAAUGUUGGCUUAAUACUGAAUCCUAGUGCACAGUCUAACCGGCACAACUUGAUUUGGAAAUGAGAUGCUGUUUUAUAUUUAAAUUACCCCUGCUUCCCCCUUAUCCUCCAAAGCUUUGUCUCUGUUAUGAAUAUGCAGAUGAGGCAUGAUGUGAUUACACUGUACAAUUACUCCUAUCCAUGGUGGUGUCAGGGGCUGCUAGGGAGACAGAGAGUCAGACAGCCUCCAAGCCAAUACAGAGUUUUGUUUUCGGUAUUUUUCCUAUCUCCUUGGCACUGCGGCACAUGCAGAUGUCGCUGUUGUUCUUUAUAAAGCCCUAAUGAUAUGCAAAAGCAUAACGAUUUGGUUUGGAUGCAAAGCAUCAACGAAAUAUUACGGAUGUCUUCAAGAAAGGGGGAGAGAAAAUCCUGACUGAAGGAAUGUCCACAUAAAUUAUUUUUAUUUAAAUGAAUUCAAAGGAUGGGGUGAGGGCAAGUCAGAUGGAGUCGCAUGGAAAACAUGAAUAAUAUUAAUAUGCAUAAAGAAUUCUCACCGAGGAGGAGAAGCUCCUCACUACAGCUCUUGGGACAAACAGGUUCAUUAGGAAACAGCUCAGAGCGACUACAGCAUUUUGCUAUUUCAAUUUUUUCCCUUAUUUUAAAUGAAGAGUCAGACAGAUGUGUUUUCUUUGCAUGGCAGCAUUGAGAUGGAUCCAAUCUGUGAAAUUUGCUGCCCAAAUAGCAUUUCUAAUGGAAACUGGAACUAAACAAGGGCACGGAUAUGGAAGGGAGGGGAGAAGAGAGAAUACACGAAGAGGAGUAUAUUCAGAGCCACUGCAUGGCAUUUUUAGUACAGGAUGUUUUCAGAAACCAUCUUUGCUUCGUUAGUCUCCCCUGUGGGCUCCUGAUGUAGGGAGCUAUCAGGGUAUACCAAGAUGAGCACUGAGACAGGCCUUUCUAGGUCUGAGGCUGAGGAAAGCAGCGGCAACUUGGUGCCUGUGCCCCAGAGCUGUCUACAGUUCAGAAGCCAAAAGCACAGCUACUUCUAAUUUGGGGAUGCAGUAGAGUGCCUACUGAUCCAGGUAUUUGUGAAAGAUGGAAUUCUUGGUGCUAUCAUAGUAUACAUUGCUAAAGAGCAGAUGAAAUCGGCUGCUUAAGGAGGCCUGAUAAUAUUUAUGUUGGUUAAUUCUCAUGAUAAUGAUAACUGCACUUGUCUAGUAUUUUCAGAAUGUUAAAAUUACCAGUGUGGCUUAAUGCAUGUUAACAAUGAAUAGAGAGGGACAAA